AAACGAAAGCAAUCGGACAAGACCUUCAGAUCAGCUGACCAGAGAGGCUGACCUUUGACCCCGCCUGACGACAGGGCGACCGGUGUAUUAUGGUCCGAAUAGCUUUAUCUCGUGCCAUCGCAUGUUGCCUCGUUAUUCCAGUCUUCUUAUGAGUGUGGUUCUCGCUGUCAAAAGCCUGAGUGGGAUUGGCUGCACGAAUUCAUCUUCGUCUGUGGACCUUGCAUGAGUGAUUACUUUACUGCUUGGACAAGAGUCAAGAUGGAUGACCAGAUGGUAGCCUACAUAACCCUUUUCACAUCUACGGCUGUGAUAGGGUUUGGCAUAGGUGCGGUACUCUCUUACUUCCACCUCCCUUCAUCUGGACGCACAAGGUUGAUAAGGAGAUAAC